CCAAUAGCGUAUAUUAAAGUUGUUGCAGUUAAAAAGCUCGUAGUUGAAUUUCGGGAUCAAAUUGUCGGUCGUGCCUUGGUACGCACUGGCAUUAUUGGUCCCUACCUUCUGAAGAACCGCGAUGUCAUUAAUUUGGUGUCGUGGGGAAUCAGGACUGUUACUUUGAAAAAAUUAGAGUGUUUAAAGCAGGCGCACGCUUGAAUACAUUAGCAUGGAAUAA
rnacentral:rRNA from 1 species